UCAUGAUAGCGCAGUUACUGAGUUCGAAAUGGUGUGCAACAAUAACUGGAAAGCACCUUUAGUCAUUACAUUCUUCCAGACGGGAAUGGCAAGUGGAUCUGUAGCGGGCAUGCUUGCUGAUAGGUAUGGUAGAAGGCCAGUGUACCUGCUCGCGACUUUGGCUCAGAUUGGAUCACUGGCGUUCAUAGCUGCUGCAU